UGGACUGUUCAAUAGACAGGUAUGCUCUUAAAAGCAUGUCUGUCACCACUAAGUGGGAUCCAGGUUGGAGCUCCAGGGUCAUAUCAUAAAGUUGCUGUAUCCUUGGUGAUGUAUCUCCAAGUUCCUUUUUGAAUAUUUCAAAUCAAUGGUUUGUGGUCCAUUUCUACAGUGAAUCUCCAAUCAUACAGUAAGUUAUGAAAACCUGUCUAUAUGUGGACCAGUCCAAGAGUUUCUUUUUCAAUUUUUUACGUAGUUUCUCAGCAGCUGUCAUAGCCCUAGAUGCAUAUGAGACUGGCAACCAAUCAGUCUCAUGGUGUUGUAAUAGUAAUGCUCAAAAUCCAUCUUUUGGUAAAAGCCUAUUUCCACUCUUGAGGUAUUUGAAAACUAUUAUCAAAUCCCCUCUCAGUCUUCUCUUCUCCAGGCUAAAUAACCCUAUCUCUUUGAGUUUCUUCCUCAUAAGUCAUGCUUUCCAGGCUUCUAAUGUUUUUUGUUUCUGUCUACUGGCCUAUUUCCAGUCUGUCUGCAUCCUUCUUGAAGUGUACGGCCCAAAACUGGACACACUGCUUCAGCUGAAACUAUCUGUCAAAUUUGGCAAGAAUUUGUGAGUAACUUCAGAUAACCAUACAGCAGCUAAGGCAUGGAGACUCGACGAUGAGAGGCACUUGAGACCGGGACGCUGCGAGAAAUGCACUAGACCGGGGAGAGGCCGGGAACGGCGGGGCCCAGCGCCCUCCUGCCAGGUCCACCGCCCCAGAAGGAGCCGCGGGAGGAGGAUGCUGCUCUGGCUCGGGGCUCAUUAACAGAGUUAAACGCCUGCUGAGGCUGGUAAACGGGACAUUUUGGGGGCGGGAGGGAAGGCUGAAGCCUUUUACAACACCUGUCGGGGAUGUUUUGUGGGGAACCCUGUGAGAAUCGGAGCCGUCUAAGGUGUAGGUGUGCGGGGUCCCCGAGCUGCCUUGCUCCGAGGUGUGUCCCCAGAGACGUGGGCGGGUGCAGAAGACACCGGCCCGUGCCUGUGACAGCUGAAGCCCCGAGUCCCUGCCGGACAGGAGAGCUCCUCGAAGGGGCGGCGGACCGGACACUUCGCGCUGACUGAUGCUCGGACUCGCUGGGUCGAAAUAGCAAAUACCCGCGGAGCGAGGCAGCUCGGGGCGUUUCUUGGGGUGUUAACUGAGAGGCUUGCCGGCCCGUCCUCCCGCAGGGGGAGGCCAAACGCAAGCCCUGGCCCGGGCCGCGGAGGUUUUCCUCUCACUUGUGCAAAGCGGGAUCACCGGCCGGUGGAGAGGACCGACCCCCUCUCCGCCAGCGGGCUGGCCCACACCUCCCCAGUGCCUUCUUGCUCCCACCCGGGCCAAGGAAGCGGGUUGACCCCGCUAGACUUGCACAGGGCCUGCUCUCCAGGACGGCCUUCGCACCCGGGGCCACGCACGGCCGGGCCCAGCCGGGGGCAGAGCAGAAGCGUCCGCAGCGCACGUCGGGCCGGCCCCGGUGUGGUGCCCGCCCCGUCCGUUUGUCACCGGUAGCUGCGGGGCUGGUCCCCCCCGCCCUCCCUGUGCCCGCUGCAUUCAGCCUGUCCCCUUGAUUAAAAGGGCACUUUUAUUUUUCCAACGGAGGUGCCCUUGUUGCGCGGGCUGCUAUACAUUUGUCACUCACUCGCCUGGGCUCUGGCACGCCGCGAUCUGUCCCUUUUUACAGCGAACCGCGGCGGUGACAAUCAGCCCGGGGGAAGGCGCGGCUUGGGGAACGGGAGCCGGGGAAAGCGCCGCUCCCCCUGCCCUCCCCUCCCCCCUUUGAAUUCCUUGCCACCGAGCUGAAUAA